CUCCGGAGGCCUGGCCCAGCCGCCUCCUCCCUCCUUCCCUCCAAACUUAACCCCCUGAGCAGCACAGGCUACCGAGGGCUAUGCUGUAUGCGAGGCCCCAGGGAGGUGCUGUGACCCCCUGGCCAGUGCAAAUCCUGCGGCGCCAAGCUGGUGCUCCGACACGCGCGCAUGCGGCAGCACAAGGCAGGGCACCCAUCACAGGGUCCCCCCGGCACGGCCGGCUACGCUGGGAAGCCACAGCACUCCGCCAUGAUGGUGUGAGGCAGCCACCUGCUUGGGGGCAGGUACAGGGUAGCAAAUCUCUCCCAGGGACACGGGGCUAAACCCCGGGACAGGUGAAACCUUGGGCUUUUUAGGAGCUGAUAAGCCAGGCACCUCCAGGAGGAAGGUGCUGCCACACUCUCCGCUCAUGGCCCAGAGGAUGAAGGCAGAGCAGCAGCAGCUCCUCUUGGCAUGCCAGGGUGUGGCGGACAGAUGAAUGAAUUUUUUUCCUUAAACAUUCCUUGGUGCAUGGGGUGCAGGCAGGCCAUAACCCCGAACAAGCCAUCUGUCCCUGGCGGAAACAGGACUGGGCUGCUGUGACCCCCUGGGACACACCGAGCCUGCACUGAACGAGACCACAAUCGGGCAGAGACUUUGGGAUCUGGACUGUAAAUUAUUGUCUGUUUUUAGCACAACUUCUAUAAAACUUGCUUGGCAUGAGUGGCUAAAUUUGCUGAAGCCUUAGGCCGCACUCCCUAGUUCGGUGGGAAAGGGCCCCAGAGCUGGUGCAGAAGGGAACGAUAUGGGAGUUACCAGCAAUUUGCAUCUGAAACAGUGCUAAUUGCUGGAGUUACCACCUCUUUGUCAGGACCUUGAGAGAUGACGGUGGGACCCGUGGAAUGGAGACGCACCUGUCGGCAGAAACUGCAACAGAAAAGGUAAGGGAGAAAAGCAGCCUGCCUAGGAACAACGAUGAGAUCCAAUCAGGAGCAGGAGACCCCAGAUCCCAAAAUUACUAUUGGUCUGAACUACCGCGUGUGUGUGGGGGGGAACUUAAUUUGAAAAAGCUAUAAUUGCCCAGGGAUCUCUUUGUUCGGGGUCCCUCUUCAGAGGCACCCAACUCGAGCUGUAACCACUGCACGCGUGUCAUUACAAUUUAUUUAUUUAAUUUGCCUUGAUUUCGCUCCGAGCUUUUCAGCGGGAACCUAGGGUCGGACCCUGCUCGAGUUGUAAUUACUGCACGCGCAUCGCCAAAACUUACACCCACGGUGAAGAGGACCCACCUACCACCAGACGGGAGCCCCCCCCCGCCACCGCCGAGACUCCACGGGACACCGCUGGAUCCACAGUGCAUUAACACAAACAACAUCAUGAUCUGUUUAAUCAACAUACGUGGCCUCUGGUAAUCCUACGCAGAAAGAACACUGCAAAUCAGAUGAUAUUCUGCCAUUAAUCAUCGACCUAGUAUGACUUGGUGGACUUCGCGAGGACCUACCAGAUGCAGUGAACGCACCCAUCUAUUCUUCCGUGCAUGGCCUAGAAGGAUCUCUCUGGUCAACAGAUGUUUUUAAAUGCUCUUUCACAUGGGAAAAUUGUGAAGUACAUAUUUUUAUUGCACCCUUGCUAUUUUAUUCAGCCAUGUGGAUCUCCAGGGAUGGAGACGUACUUAAGAAAAGUAUUUGCUUCUAAAAGCUUCUACAGUUUUUUGCAAUACCUUCUUGGCUUAGCCAGUCCAGCAACAUACACAUGUAUUUCUAUUUUGCAGCAAUUAGUAAGAUAUACUAAUUAUACUGCUGUAUAUUUAAAGGCAAUUCAUUUUGUAGAAAAAAAAUUCUGGUUAUACCAAUUCUCUUAACCAUCAUCAGAAAGAAACCCUGACUACCCAUCAUAUUGCUUUAUUAAAUUACUGUCUUUUCUGUCCCA